rfam:Nicotiana attenuata strain TT chromosome 8, whole genome shotgun sequence.
GGGCUUAUAGUUUAAUUGGUUGAAACGUACCGCUCAUAACAGUGAUAUUGUAGGUUCGAGCCCUACUAAGCCUA